CUUGUUGGUGGGGUAACGGCUCACCAAGGCGACGAUCCCUAGCUGGUCUGAGAGGAUGACCAGCCACACUGGAACUGAGACACGGUCCAGACUCCUACGGGAGGCAGCAGUGGGGAAUAUUGCACAAUGGGCGCAAGCCUGAUGCAGCCAUGCCGCGUGUAUGAAGAAGGCCUUCGGGUUGUAAAGUACUUUCAGCGGGGAGGAAGGGAGUAAAGUUAA
rnacentral:rRNA from 1 species